rnacentral:rRNA from 1 species
UACGUAGGUGACCAGCGUUGUCCGGAUUUACUGGGCGUAAAGAGCGCGCAGGCGGUCCUUUAAGUCUGAUGUGAAAGCCCACGGCUCAACCGUGGAGGGUCAUUGGAAACUGGGGGACUUGAGUACAGAAGAGGAAAGUGGAAUUCCACGUGUAGCGGUGAAAUGCGUAGAGAUGUGGAGGAACACCAGUGGCGAAGGCGACUUUCUGGUCUGUAACUGACGCUGAGGCGCGAAAGCGUGGGGAGCAAACAGG